GACGAACCGUGCGAACGUUGUUCGGAAUCACUGGGCUUAAAGGGCGCGUAGGCGGGCUGGUAAGUCAGGGGUGAAAGCCCACGGCCCAACCGUGGAACUGCUUGGUAUACUGGUUGUCUUGAGGCACUCAGGGGCGAGCGGAACAGAUGGUGGAGCGGUGAAAUGCGUAGAUAUCAUCUGGAACGCCAAUGGUGAAGACAGCUCGCUGGGGGUGUACUGACACUGAGACGCGAAAGCCAGGGGAGCAAACGGG
rnacentral:rRNA from 1 species